CCGCGUGCAGGAUGAAGGCCUUCGGGUUGUAAACUGCUUUUGUACGGAACGAAAAGACUCCUUCUAAUAAAGGGGGUCCAUGACGGUACCGUAAGAAUAAGCACCGGCUAACUACGUGCCAGCAGCCGCGGUAAUACGUAGGGUGCAAGCGUUAAUCGGAAUUACUGGGCGUAAAGCGUGCGCAGGCGGUUAUAUAAGACAGAUGUGAAAUCCCCGGGCUCAACCUGGGAACUGCAUUUGUGACUGUAUAGCUAGAGUACGGUAGAGGGGGAUGGAAUUCCGCGUGUAGCAGUGAAAUGCGUAGAUAUGCGGAGGAACACCGAUGGCGAAGGCAAUCCCCUGGACCUGUACUGACGCUCAUGCACGAAAGCGUGGGGAGCAAACAGGAUUAGAUACCCUGGUAGUCCACGCCCUAAACGAUGUCAACUGGUUGUUGGGUCUUCACUGACUCAGUAACGAAGCUAACGCGUGAAGUGACCGCC
rnacentral:rRNA from 1 species